CCUACGGGAGGCUGCAGUGAGGAAUAUUGGUCAAUGGACGCAAGUCUGAACCAGCCAAGCCGCGUGCAGGAAGACGGCUCUAUGGGUUGUAAACUGCUUUUGUACGGGGGUAAAGCCCGAUACGUGUAUCGGGUUGAGAGUAUCGGACGAAUAAGCAUCGGCUAACUCCGUGCCAGCAGCCGCGGUAAUACGGAGGAUGCAAGCGUUAUCCGGAUUUAUUGGGUUUAAAGGGUGCGUAGGCGGUUCGAUAAGUUAGAGGUGAAAUCCCGGGGCUCAACGCCGGCACUGCCUUUGAUACUGUCUGGCUAGAGUUUAGUUGCGGUAGGCGGAAUGUGUGGUGUAGUGGUGAAAUGCAUAGAGAUCAUACAGAACACCGAUUGCGAAGGCAGCUUACCA
rnacentral:rRNA from 1 species